AAACUAAGCCCAUCUAUAAAUCCUCUUUUCUCUUAUCUGCGAACAACAACAAAAGCACGAACAAUUGCGUACAAACAUCAACAAUAAUUUCACGUAGCCAAACUCGAUCCAAUCAACAACCCAAUACCAACAACCCACAAUCAACUCAUUUUCAAUCUCUUUCAUGCAUCCCAUGCGGAUGUUGUAUGAGAAAGAUGUCAAGAAUUCUCUAGAAGUGCUUAGGUGUUUCCCCUAACGGUUUGGUUUCGCGAAUCUUAGAUGAAUUUGUACGAAUUUGUACAUGUUUGGUGGAUUCUCAUAGGUUUACAAAGGAAUUUUGAAUUAAUUGAAAAAAAAUCCAAGUUGAUAAAGGAUUUGGAGAGGUAACCUUAUUAGGAGUUCAAAUUUUGAAUUCUAUCUCCAAAAAAUUCCCCAAAUUACCCCCCCAAUUUUAAUUUUUUCCACACCAGUUGAAACCCUAAAAUAAACCCUAGCCUUUUCUCUAUAAAAAGGUUAGUUUUGGGAGAAAAAAGGGGUCCGAAAAAGAGGAGGAAAAAAUUCCUUUGAAAACAAAAAAUAAGAGAAAAUGAGGAAGGAAAAAAGGGAGAAAAAUUGGUUGCAAGAAUAGAAAAGAAUUUUUUAGUAAAAAGUUUAGGAAAAGAAGUCGGCUAGUCAAUAUUUUCGUAGCGGUGUUGAAUUUUCCAGUGGUGGUGAAGUUCAAAAGAGCUCGAAGUUCUAUUUUGCUGCUCCCAAACAGCCACCCUUUGCGGGUCGAUUUCGGAGUUUAGUUAAAAGUGAUCCAUGGUAUAUGAAUACGAUGAGAUUAAAGAAGAAGAAGAAGGGGUUAAAAUCCCAUAUUUGAAGUAGCUAAGAGACUUGACGGUCUUAUUUAUUUAUUUAUUUAUUUACUUGUUUGUUGUCUCAUGUAUUCACUUAUUUGUUGUCUUAGUCUUUUUUUCUUUAUUUAUUCAUUUGGGCCUUGAAGCCAAAGUUGUAAAUUUAAUAAAGGUGGAGCAGAUUUCAGUCCAACAGGCCUGAAAAAUUAGUUUAGGACAGGUUACGGGCCAAAUCUCAACAUUAUAUUAGGACAGAUGCAAGUGAGCCAAAAAGCCCAACUAGACUAGGACAGGAUCCGUCGACUUGGGCCCAAUGGCCUAUGUCUUAUAUUUUCUCCCCUUCCUCUUUUACAUGCUUUGUUGCUAGUUUGUUUAGAUUUAGUUAAAAUCCCUACUAAGUCGUCCAAACCUAUUUUUACACAACUUUUUCCUAAAAUCAAUCACUUUUGAAAAAUCAAUCUUUUUAAGUCAGUACAAGAUAUUUUCAAACAGUUCGGAUAACCGUAAGUUAGCAGACGUUUUAGGUGCCCUAAAAUCUUCCUAAAACAUUAAUAGGAACCGCUUACCUAGAAUCUCUAAAGUUUAAAUGAUUUUUCUGUUUUGAAUAGUUUAAAGUAUCGUAUAAAGAUUUUCUUAAUUCCUUUUCAAAUAAAUUAAAUGACGACUCUUAAAAGUCAAAAUUUCCACAAAAAACAAUAUCUGUUAAUUGAUAUUCAAUAUGAAUGCUUUUGCAGGUCAAUUCUACACCAAUGUGAGAAGCUAGUAGUGUGUAGACUUGGUUAUACGAUUCAUUUAUGCUCAACAAUACUGCAUCACUGAUGUAAUCUUCAUAUUGUUGUUCAUAUGUCCAUCUACCAGAGUGUUUAACGAGAACAAGUAUGUUUUCCAUUUUCAAUGUCCAAAACACUACAAAUCUAUAAAUAUAACUUCAAUUAUUAAAUACGUACUACAUAUAAAAAAUCA